AGGUCAUGCGGGACUACCCGCUGAG
rnacentral:rRNA from 1 species